rnacentral:lncRNA from 1 species
GCCAGGUGCUGCACCUCACAUCUUAUCCACACCCUCCCAAGCUGCAGGAGAGCGGAGGAGACGGCGCCUGUCUGUAUGCAGCUGAGCCUGUCAGACCCCUACGGAUCAGGACACCACACUCCUGACCCAGGAGCCUGGUGCUGGCAGCCGCUGUCGCAGCUGCUGCGAGAAUCCUGCCCACCCAGCCUGGCCAACCUUCUGAGUCCACCUCUCGGCUGUCUCAAAUCCAUUCUGAGAGGAGCGGGAGUGUUUUAAAAAAGAUCACAUAUUGUCCCAGUCAGCCUUCCCUGUUGCCCCGGCUCUGGCCCAGCAUGGACUCCAUAACAGGGAAUCUCACACUCAGCCAUGGGUGCCUCCUGGCCUGGCAUAUCCGGCCUCUUGGUUUCUCAUCCUUUGACGUGUGCGGUCUUGACUCCUAGCCAGGCAGGACUUGGAGCCUCUUGAGGGCAGGGCCCUUUCCUACCCUAUUUCUCAGCAGUGUCCCACAGGGACAGACGCCGAGCUAGGAUGGGUGAGGUCCUGGAGACAGAGCCACACAUGGCCCACAGGCACAGAAACGCAGAGGUGCCUGCCUGAGGACAGGCUGGGUGGGGGCGACCAAAGGCCCUGAAGGCCGCCUGUGGGCGGGAGGGAGGCAGUGGGCUGAGAGGCCAAGGACUGAGCCCACCGCUCACCCAUCCCCGCUCUCCAUCUCCAGGUCUGUUCCUCCUUCCUCCUCACCCACCGAAAGCCGUCCAUCCCAGGCACAGCUGACAUCUGUGUGCCCGUCAUCUCCUGGGAAUUUAAAGGUCAAACUGCACUCAAGAACUGUCACUGUUUACUGCACGUGGGAACUUUCAGACCACACUGAUGUCCCUGGGGCUCUGGGUCCCAGUUGCCUGUGGUGGGCUCCAUGCUCUGCCAGCCUCAGCCUUCUUCCUCUGUGCUCCAGCCCCACCACAGCAGGGUGCCUUUAGUCAGCAGGGCCAACCCAGAGGCCCCACGGUGCCUGGUGGUUUGCAGCUAGUCGGCCCCAUCAGCCACUGAGCCAGGGCCACUCUCGCCAGAUGGCUAGAGGCUCUGCUGACCAGGUACCAUCAGGUUCGAAUGAUUUCUGGAGGGGCCGUCUAUGCUCCAUGGCCCGGUCCCAUCCCACGUACACAUG